rnacentral:lncRNA from 1 species
UAUACUGAGGCUCUGGGAAAAGAGACACAUCCUUUUCUUCACCUGCACUGUUCUAUCUUUUGGCUUAAUCCCAUUGCCUGUAUUAUGAUUUAAGACUUCAAGUUAAUCAUCCAGCUACUGGGAGAAGAAAUAUUUUUCCUUAUCUCAUGGCAAGGAAAAAGGGUGGCCAGUGAGGGCCAAAAAAAAGUUUCUCUUUUGCCAUCUUUGGAUCCAAUAAUCUCACUCUUUACAGCUGCCCUUGUUAUGUAGUCUGAUUACAGAGCAGGGAAAGGCUACAUUUGGUGCUUGUUUUCCGAAGCCUUUUUGUUUCCUG